GCUUAGAAGUGAGAAUGCCGGUAUGAGUAGCGAAAGAUAGGUGAGAAUCCUAUCCGCCGAAAGACUAAGGUUUCCUGGGGCAGGCUCGUCCGCCCAGGGUAAGUCGGGACCUAAGGCAAGGCCGAGAGGCGUAGUCGAUGGAUAACAGGUAGAGAUUCCUGUACUGUGUUCAAUCGUUAUGAGCAAUGGAGGGACGCAGGAGGCGAAACACGCAUCGAGCUGGAUCGAUGUUCAAGCAGCGAGUGCGGUUAAGAGUCAAAUGCUUCUAACCAGCAACAUGAGCUGUGAUGAGUAGCGAAGUAAAAGUAGCGAAGGUGAUGUAGUCACACUGCCAAGAAAAGCUUCUAGCCAGAGAGAACAUACCCGUACCGCAAACCGACACAGGUAGUCGAGUGGAGAACACUAAGGUGAGCGAGAGAACUCUCGUUAAGGAACUCGGCAAAAUGACCCCGUAACUUCGGAAGAAGGGGUGCUGGCCAUGAGAGUGGUUAGCCGCAGUGAAUAGGCCCAAACAACUGUUUAUCAAAAACACAGGUCUCUGCAAAAUCGUAAGAUGACGUAUAGAGGCUGACACCUGCCCGGUGCUGGAAGGUUAAGAGGAGAGCUUAGCGCAAGCGAAGGUUUGAAUUGAAGCCCCAGUAAACGGCGGCCGUAACUAUAACGGUCCUAAGGUAGCGAAAUUCCUUGUCGGGUAAGUUCCGACCUGCACGAAAGGUGUAAUGAUUUGGGCACUGUCUCAACGAGAGACUCGGUGAAAUUAUAAUACCCGUGAAGAUGCGGGUUACCCGCGACAGGACGGAAAGACCCCAUGGAGCUUCACUGUAGCUUGAUAUUGAGUAUCUUUUAAACAUGUACAGGAUAGGUAGGAGCCAAGGAAUGCAGGACGCUAGUCUUGCAGGAGGCAAUGUUGGGAUACUACCCUUGUUUGAAGGAUGCUCUAACCUCGACCUGUAAUCCAGGCCAGGGACAGUGUCAGGUGGGCAGUUUGACUGGGGCGGUCGCCUCCUAAAGUGUAACGGAGGCGCCCAAAGGUUCCCUCAGAAUGGUUGGAAAUCAUUCGCAGAGUGUAAAGGUAUAAGGGAGCUUGACUGCGAGAGAGACAACUCGAGCAGGGACGAAAGUCGGGCUUAGUGAUCUGGUGGUACCGUAUGGAAGGGCCAUCACUCAACGGAUAAAAGCUACCCUGGGGAUAACAGGCUUAUCUCCCCCAAGAGUUCACAUCGACGGGGAGGUUUGGCACCUCGAUGUCGGCUCGUCGCAUCCUGGGGCUGAAGUCGGUCCCAAGGGUUGGGCUGUUCGCCCAUUAAAGCGGCACGCGAGCUGGGUUCAGAACGUCGUGAGACAGUUCGGUCCCUAUCCGUCGUGGGCGUAGGAAAUUUGAGAGGAGCUGUCCUUAGUACGAGAGGACCGGGAUGGACGCACCGCUGGUGUACCAGUUGUUCCGCCAGGAGCAUCGCUGGGUAGCUAUGUGCGGAAGGGAUAAGCGCUGAAAGCAUCUAAGUGCGAAGCCCCCCUCAAGAUGAGAUUUCCUUUGCGUAAGCAGUAAGACACCUCAGAGACGAUGAGGUAGAUAGGCUGGGAGUGGAAGUUCUGUGAAGAAUGGAGCGGACCAGUACUAAUCAGUCGAGGACUUGACCAA
rnacentral:rRNA from 1 species